AGAAAACAGAAGAAAUUGAUCCAAAUCAAAUACAAACCAGACUUAGCCUUAGCACAGCAGUCAUCCAUUUUACAAGGACAGCAAAGUUCCUGACAUUGCCAGAAAAACCUUCAUCAAACCCUUUGCUUCAGGGUUUAAAGAUCUUUCACUCAAAUGACAGAUCAUCUCUUACCUGUAACAUGAAAAGCUUGUUUUGCUCUAAAAAUAUUUCUUUCUUUUAGCUGUAGGAAUCACCUUUGCAGGUUGGUAGUGUCCGUUUGUGCUUCUCCACACAGUUUAUAGUUUCUCAGACUCUCCCUAGAGGUUCAGUGGCUCAAACAUUAACAGCAUGGAGAAUUAUUGAUCCUUAAUGACUAGGUGUGGUAUGAAAUAGCAGCCAUGUAAGGAAGCAGUGUGGUUCUGAGAUAAUUUAUGGCUCCUUAUUUCCUUUGGGAUUUUCUGUCUGAAUUUAGUUUUUCAGCGUGGCUGCAAGAAAUGAACAAGCAAUGCACAGAUUGGAGCCCCCGGGAGCAAGUUGUCCUUUCUGUAGGAGAGAUGGUGGAGAGGAGAAGGCAUGGGCUUCUGGUGGAGAUCAGAUCUGUGCAUGGGGAGCACUCAGCCUAUUUAUAGGAAUAAUUCAUCAGACGUGGACUCUUGUCUGCAGACAUGGAGAAAGUUUAAGUUUUCUGUGAGCUCUGCAACCAAUUUAAAUCGGGUUUUCAGUCCUUCAAGGGAGCCAAUCCCCGCUUGUCCCUGUGCCAUAGCACCUAUAGCAAUGGGAAUGGAAAUCAACUGGACUAUAAAGGACUAUGGUAAAAUAAAUAAUAAAUAAAAUACCAUGGAAAUUAUAAGUGGAAAAAAGAGAAGUUUUUAAAAGUCUUAAUUCUUGAGAUGUUUUGUUUUCUGCUGCCUCACUUUUUAAUAUCAUACUUAUUUCAGGUGUUUUGAACAGCCUUAUUUUCUUCUCCCAUAAUGUUAGUUUUCAUCCAGGUUCCAACUUCUGGCUUCAAUUUCCUGUGUGUGCUGUAUAACUCUUGAUCAUUGUUUAGUUUUUUGUGCAGAGCAUUAAGCAUUUUCUGGACUAUGCAUUCAAAGAAACAAAUGUUUUGAACUGAUUACAGCUGGAAAGUACACAAUUCUGGAAAAGGUGAGUUUUCUGUAGUUCAGAUCACACUUUUCUCUUGAAAUCAAUAUUUGUUUCUACAGGGAAAAAAAUCUGGACUGUGCUUUCAGCAUGCUUUCAGACACGACUGUUCUCCAUUUACUCACAGACUCAGCAUGAUUUGGGCAUUCGCAAAAGCUGCUGCUAGCAGAGAGUUAUCUUUAGAGCACAGCUCAAAAACAAGAGUUUCCAUUAAAGCAUUAGGACUUAUUGUUAUGAUUUCAAAAUAAAUAUAAUGGGGGGAGGGAACUGAACUUUCUU
rnacentral:lncRNA from 1 species